AGCAACCUCUCAAUAUUCCUGUUACUCAAUUACCUGCCUAGGCACAAUUAUUAGGUGACUGCCAAAGUAAUUUAAUCUUCUUCAUUGUUUAGCUUUGAAACCUUCCCAAGUUUUUAUGCAAGAUGUAACUAUAUGGUAAAGAUGAUGAAUUACUAAACACUUGAACCUGAACUUACACAUCAGAGCACAUUUGUGAGAUGCGGACAGUGAGCCCAAGGGAAACAAUAAAGACCUGUCUCCCUACCUCCAAUCACUUAGAAAAGAAACCCGCUAGCCAGUGAUUUU
rnacentral:lncRNA from 1 species